ACUCAAAGGAAUUGACGGGGGCCCGCACAAGCGGUGGAGUAUGUGGUUUAAUUCGACGCAACGCGAAGAACCUUACCAGGGCUUGACAUCUGGGGAACCCCUCCGAAAGGAGGGGGUGCCCGCAAGGGAGCCCCAAGACAGGUGGUGCAUGGCUGUCGUCAGCUCGUGCCGUGAGGUGUUGGGUUAAGUCCCGCAACGAGCGCAACCCUUGUCGCUAGUUGUCAUCAGGUUAAGCUGGACCCUUUAGCGAGACUGCCGGGGACGACCCGGAGGAAGGUGAGGACGACGUCAAGUCAUCAUGCCCCUUAUGCCCUGGGCUACACACGUACUACAAUGGCUAGGACAGAGCGCUGCAAGACCGCAAGGUGGAGCGAAUCGCACAAACCUAGCCCCAGUUCAGAUUGCAGGCUGCAACUCGCCUGCAUGAAGGCGGAAUCGCUAGUAAACGCCGAUCAGCACGCGGCGUUGAAUCCGUUCCCGGGCCUUGUACACACCGCCCGU
rnacentral:rRNA from 1 species